rnacentral:rRNA from 1 species
AUGCUGCGGAAGGAGGCGCUGCAGGGGCAGGAGGUACUCGACGCCACCAGCGACCCCUCCGCCGUCGUCGGGUCGGCCAAGAAGUUCCUCGCCAGCCUCAAGUCCCUCUUCGUCUGCAGCGCGGAGGUCGAACUCCUCACCGACGCCGUCGACGCGCUCGAGCGCCUCGCCGUCCCCGGCGCCGACCUGGACAAAUUCUUGAAGGUGCUCCAGCUCGACGUCGCCAUGGACGUCGACGACGACGCCGCUCCGGCCCCUGCCCCGGUCUCAGCCGCGCAUUACGUGGACCAAGGCAGCUACUCCGUCGCCACCGUGCCCAGCGCCAAGAGGAAGCGCGCGGGGAGCUCUAGCGUCGACCAGGCCGGGGACGCCGACGGCGACGCGGACGGGGAGACCGCGUCUCACUCCCACGGCCGGGGCGUCCUCGACUGCGCGUACCGUCACAAGCGCCAGGCCCUGGCGUGCAAGCGGCACACCACCAGCUCCGGACAUCCGCCCGUGGCGGUGGCGAUGGCGAUGGCCAGGGUGCGCUGCCGCAUCGGGACGCCGAACCUCGGGCAGCUGCCCUUCUCCCGGAUCUCCUUGCAGUGA